rnacentral:lncRNA from 1 species
AUCUGAUUCCACCAACAUGCACUUCCAACUCCUAGCUCUACACAAGGUGAAAAAGUCAUUCCACAGUGCUCUGCUGAAAAAUACCCCAAAGCGGGGGCAUUUUGGGUACGAGGGAGAGGACACACUUUGCGGUUAUGGAGCACACCAAGAUUGUGGGACAGAAACUAGCAAGGGACACUAAAAGCAGACAUGAAGUACCAGCAAAUCUUCUGCAAAAGGACCAAACAGUUGGUGGUUAAGAAGCCCUACACCACUUCUGGCAGAGUCUUAUCCAGCUGGCUGUUCCCCGCAGACAGGACAAGCCCAUUGCCAUAAGCACAAAGUCUCAGCUUCCCCAGCCCACCAUUGCCAGUGUACCAAAGCCU